rnacentral:rRNA from 1 species
GACGAACCGUGCGAACGUUGUUCGGAAUCACUGGGCUUAAAGGGCGCGUAGGCGGGCUGCCAAGUCCGGGGUGAAAUCCCACGGCUCAACCGUGGAACUGCCCUGGAUACUGGCGGUCUCGAGGGAGGUAGGGGCUUGCGGAACUAUGCGUGGAGCGGUGAAAUGCGUUGAUAUGCAUAGGAACUCCGGUGGCGAAGGCGGCAAGCUGGACCUCAUCUGACGCUGAGGCGCGAAAGCCAGGGGAGCGAACGGG